rnacentral:rRNA from 1 species
UGUUGCGCGGAAAAUUCAACGGGGCUAAGCAUACAACCGAAGCUUGGGCAGUAGUAAUACUGGGUAGGGGAGCGUUCUGUACGGACAGAAGCAUCAGCGGAAGCAGAUGUGGACUGUACAGAAGUGAGAAUGCCGGAAUGAGUAGCGAGAAUUGUGUGGGAAUCAUAAUGGCCGAAAAUCUAAGGUUUCCGGGGGUAGGGUCGUCCACCCCGGGUUAGCCGGGAGCUAAGGCGAGGCCGCGAGGCGUAGUCGAUGCACAAACGGUAGAGAUUCCGUUGCCGCCAGAUCUUAAGUAACUGACACGAGGGUAGAGUUCAACCCGGCCGAUGGUAGAGCCGGGCGAAAGGGACUGAAGAAUAGUAGGGAAGUGAACGAAGCCAGCGGCGAGAAAAGGUUAUGUAUGAAAUCAGGCGCCCGUACCGCAAACCGACACAGGUAGAUGAGGAGAGGAUCCUAAGGCCAGCGGGAGAAGGGUUGUUAAGGAACUCGGCAUAUUGACCCCGUAACUUCGGAAGAAGGGGUGCCUCCGUAAGGAGGCCGCAGUGAAAAGGUCCAGGCAACUGUUUAUCAAAAACACAGGUUUCUGCAAAAGCGAAAGCUGAAGUAUAGGAGCUGACGCCUGCCCGGUGCUGGAAGGUCAAGGGGAUCGCUUAGCGCAAGCGAAGGCGAGAACUUAAGCCCCAGUAAACGGCGGCCGUAACUAUAACGGUCCUAAGGUAGCGAAAUUCCUUGCCAGGUAAGUUCUGGCCUGCACGAAUGGCGUAAUGAUCUGGGCACUGUCUCAACAGCCCGCCCGGCGAAAUUGUAGUACCGGUGAAGAUGCCGGUUUCCUGCGACUAGACGGAAAGACCCCAUGGAGCUUUACUGUAGUCUGAUACUGAAAUUUGGUUCAUUAUGCACAGGAUAGGUGGGAGACAGAGAAACCCGGGCUUUGGCUUGGGCGGAGUCGCCGUUGGGAUACCACUCUUGAUGAACCAAGUUUCUAACCUGCUCCCGUGAAUCCGGGAGGGGGACAAUGUCAGAUGGGCAGUUUGACUGGGGCGGUCGCCUCCAAAAGAGUAACGGAGGCGUUCAAAGGUUGGCUCAGCGCGGACGGAAAUCGCGCAAUGAGUAUAAACGUAUAAGCCAGCCUAACUGUGAGACCUACAAGUCGAGCAGUAACGAAAGUUGGAGUUAGUGAUCAGGU